GUAGGUGAACCUGCGGAAGGAUCAUUAUUGGUGUUUCUACACUUUUAUGUAUUAUCACAUAUCUACACCUGUGUUGUUGUUAUACUCGGUAUGUGUCGUGUGCGUGCGUGUUUACAUGCGUUUACAUGCGUUUACAUGCGUUUACAUGCGUUUACAUGCGUUUACAUGCGUUUACAUGCGUUUACAUGCGCACGCACAGGAUGCUGCCAUUAAAAUCCUCCUUUGAAACGCGAUACCUUUUUAUUUUUCAGUGUACAAUGUGUUUGCGCACGCAUACAUAUCAUACAAAUAUAUAAUACAACUGUUAGCAAUGGAUCACUUGGUUCUC
rnacentral:misc_RNA from 1 species